GCCGGCGAAGCUCCCGUGGGGGAGCGCCCGACUUGUAAUCGGGACCCGGUCGGUUCGACUCCGACCGUCGGCU
rnacentral:tRNA from 1 species